AUUGAACGCUGGCGGCAGGCCUAACACAUGCAAGUCGAGCGGAUGAAGGGAGCUUGCUCCUGGAUUCAGCGGCGGACGGGUGAGUAAUGCCUAGGAAUCUGCCUGGUAGUGGGGGGUAACGUCCGGAAACGGGCGCUAAUACCGCAUACGUCCUGAGGGAGAAAGUGGGGGAUCUUCGGACCUCACGCUAUCAGAUGAGCCUAGGUCGGAUUAGCUAGUUGGUGGGGUAAAGGCCUACCAAGGCGACGAUCCGUAACUGGUCCGAGAGGAUGAUCAGUCACACUGGAACUGAGACACGGUCCAGACUCCUACGGGAGGCAGCAGUGGGGAAUAUUGGACAAUGGGCGAAAGCCUGAUCCAGCCAUGCCGCGUGUGUGAAGAAGGUCUUCGGAUUGUAAAGCACUUUAAGUUGGGAGGAAGGGCAGUAAGUUAAUACCUUGCUGUUUUGACGUUACCAACAGAAUAAGCACCGGCUAACUUCGUG
rnacentral:rRNA from 1 species